rnacentral:tRNA from 1 species
CAAGAUAUAGCUUAAACAAAGCACCUAGUUUACACCUAGAAGAUUUCACACGCCAUGAAUAUCUUGA